GGACCUCCAAUCAAGCAAGGCUACCCGCUGGAUUUAAGCAUAUAACUAAGCGGAGGAAAAGAAACUAACCAGGAUUCCCCUAGUAACGGCGAGUGAAGCGGGAAUAGCUCAACUUGAAAAUCUGGGAGGUUUUACCUCUCCGAAUUGUAGUCUAAAGAAGUGWAGCCAUCAGUUCACAGGGGAUAAGUCCCUUGGAAAAGGGCGCCCAAGAGGGUGACAGUCCCGUUCAUGCUCUUGUGAAUCUGAGUACGGCUUGCUCUCGACGAGUCGAGUUGCUUGGGAUUGCAGCUCAAAGUGGGUGGUAAAUUCCAUCUAAGGCUAAAUAUGGGUGGGAGACCGAUAG
rnacentral:rRNA from 1 species